ensembl:snRNA U6 U6 spliceosomal RNA
GCACUGGCUGGGGCAGCACAGACACUAAAAUUGGAGUGACACAGAGGAGUCAGCAGGGCCCUUGCGCAAGGAUGACAUACAAAUUCGUGAAGACUUCCAUAUUUUU